rnacentral:rRNA from 1 species
UACGGAGGAUCCGAGCGUUAUCCGGAUUUAUUGGGUUUAAAGGGUGCGCAGGCGGGGGAUUAAGUCGGCGGUGAAAUUUUGCAGCUCAACUGUAAAAGUGCCUUCGAAACUGGUAUCCUUGAGUGUAGAUGAAGUAGGCGGAAUUUGUGGUGUAGCGGUGAAAUGCAUAGAUAUCACGAGGAACUCCGAUUGCGCAGGCAGCUUACUAAACUACUACUGACGCUCAGGCACGAAGGCGUGGGGAUCAAACAGGAUUAGAUACCCCCGUAGUCCCU